GGGUUGUGAGGUUAAGCGACUAAGCGUACACGGUGGAUGCCCUGGCAGUCAGAGGCGAUGAAGGGCGUGCUAAUCUGCGAUAAGCGCCGGUAAGGUGAUAUGAACCGUUAUAACCGGCGAUACCCGAAUGGGGAAACCCAGUGUGACUCGUCACACUAUCAUUAACUGAAUCCAUAGGUUAAUGAGGCGAACCGGGGGAACUGAAACAUCUAAGUACCCCGAGGAAAAGAAAUCAACCGAGAUUCCCCCAGUAGCGGCGAGCGAACGGGGAGGAGCCCAGAGCCUGAAUCAGCAUGUGUGUUAGUGGAAGCGUCUGGAAAGGCGCGCGAUACAGGGUGACAGCCCCGUACACAAAAGCGCAUGUGCUGUGAGCUCGAUGAGUAGGGCGGGACACGUGGUAUCCUGUCUGAAUAUGGGGGGACCAUCCUCCAAGGCUAAAUACUCCUGACUGACCGAUAGUGAACCAGUACCGUGAGGGAAAGGCGAAAAGAACCCCGGCGAGGGGAGUGAAAAAGAACCUGAAACCGUGUACGUACAAGCAGUGGGAGCACCCUUUUGGGUGUGACUGCGUACCUUUUGUAUAAUGGGUCAGCGACUUAUAUUCUGUAGCAAGGUUAACCGAAUAGGGGAGCCGGAGGGAAACCGAGUCUUAAUUGGGCGUUAAGUUGCAGGGUAUAGACCCGAAACCCGGUGAUCUAGCCAUGGGCAGGUUGAAGGUUGGGUAACACUAACUGGAGGACCGAACCGACUAAUGUUGAAAAAUUAGCGGAUGACCUGUGGCUGGGGGUGAAAGGCCAAUCAAACCGGGAGAUAGCUGGUUCUCCCCGAAAGCUAUUUAGGUAGCGCCUCGUGAAUUCAUCUCCGGGGGUAGAGCACUGUUUCGGCUAGGGGGCCAUCCCGGCUUACCAACCCGAUGCAAACUGCGAAUACCGGAGAAUGUUAUCACGGGAGACACACGGCGGGUGCUAACGUCCGUCGUGAAGAGGGAAACAACCCAGACCGCCAGCUAAGGUCCCAAAGUCAUGGUUAAGUGGGAAACGAUGUGGGAAGGCCCAGACAGCCAGGAUGUUGGCUUAGAAGCAGCCAUCAUUUAAAGAAAGCGUAAUAGCUCACUGGUCGAGUCGGCCUGCGCGGAAGAUGUAACGGGGCUAAACCAUGCACCGAAGCUGCGGCAGCGAACGUAUCACUUAAAGCGAUUCAGCGGGUUACGAUUGACGGAGCGAAGCGACGUCAAAGCGUAUACAAAGUCGAGUCGGUUUAAGGAUACGUUCGUUGGGUAGGGGAGCGUUCUGUAAGCCUGUGAAGGUGGCCUGUGAGGGUUGCUGGAGGUAUCAGAAGUGCGAAUGCUGACAUAAGUAACGAUAAAGCGGGUGAAAAGCCCGCUCGCCGGAAGACCAAGGGUUCCUGUCCAACGUUAAUCGGGGCAGG
rnacentral:rRNA from 1 species